CUCAGCAUUUCAGUCAUGGAGAUGCUCUCGAGACCCUACCGAAGAGACAAAUGGAGUCCAGUCGUGCAAGCCCAUAUAGGCCCACAUCGUAGUUAUUAAAGUGGAGGAGCGCCAGUGCUAACCCGCCGCCGCCGAAGAAAGUGUAUACCUUCCGCCUAGAUCACACUCCUAGGUGCUAGGGUUUUGCAGAGUCUGGUGAUGCGAAGACGAACCGGCGGCGUAUACGGGACCGGCGGCGUAUACGGGACCGGCGGCGGUACCUGUACUCCAAGAGCCUCGAGGCCUCCCAUUGGGUGCUGUUGGAGAAGGAGCGCCGUAUCCGGGCGGCGCUAGAGGAGGGAAAGCCCAUUCCUACCGAGCUCCGCAACGAGGAGCACGACCUGCGGAAGCAGAUCGACCUAGGAGCGUGGAGGUGCGUGUUGUUCCCGUACCCGCGCUCCAGACCAUGGCUUCAUUUUGCUCGAGCGAGCGGAAUGCAGUGUUCUCGCUCAUUUGUUUUGUUUGCAGGGGAUUUACAAUAUUUUGUGUCUGGUUAAGGACGUUGCUCGGUUGUUGUUUGGAUCUGUGAUUGGGUGCUACAGUUUCUAAGAGCAUACUGUCUCGAUUCGUGAGCCCAAGAUAGAGGGCCGUUUUGGUUUCUUUAGUAGAGAGACUGAAGUUUAGUUAGGAGACUAAAGUUUAGUCCCUAGGAACUAAAAAUAUUCAUAAUGCAUUAAACAAAUCAUAAGAGGAUAAAAAUACACCUUAACAUUCUUCUGUCGUUAGUCCAACUGAAAUAAAGGAAAGACAAAAAAUAAAAUUAAUAUGAUUUAGUCCCUUUUAGUCACUCCUUGAGGGACUAGAGACUAAAACAGUCGAAUCUCUGUUUUAGUCACACGGUUUGGUAAUUUAGAGACUAAAUGAGACUAAGGCGGUGUUUGAAUGCCCUAGAGCUAAUAGUUAAUGCCUAAAAUUAAUUGAAUACAUCCAAACACCCGAUCUAAUAGAUCAACUAUUAGCUAUUUUUAGUAAAUUAGUUAAUAGUUAGCUAUCUAUUUGUUAGCUAGGUAAUUUCACUAGCCAUUUUUUAGCUAGCUAACUAUUAACUUUAGUGCAUUCAAAUACGUCUACAUGUCUGGCAAUCCUGGCGUGGUCUUAACUUACCCUGUGUUGCAUUGCAUUCAACCAACCGCCCUAUGUGGUUCUCUUCAUAGGAGCUGAAGGUUACGUUUUCCAUGUCACAAAGAAUGAACCAUGGUCGCCAGGUAUAUUGCACCAGCAUUACCUGCAAGAAAUUAGAACUCAAUUGUCUGUGAUUUUUAUAGUCCCAAACAAACACCCUCUAAAUAACUAAACACAUGUGAACGCCGACACUGGGCAAAUUUGCUUAUUUAGGUCCUGACACUGGGUCUGCCUUUUUAAUUGUUGUUGUGGGAUGAAAACGGGAUGGACAUUUUCUAAUAUCUGUCCGCCUCGAAAGGGUCAAAACUCAAAACCCUACAUGGAUAGUUCAUAUUUGAACCUGAACAUUUAAUAUCCAUACUAUAUCUGAAUCCAAAUGCUGAAAAUCAGAUUUUUGAUAUGCAUAUGAGAUUGAUAUUAAUAGCUGGCAUGAUGGUCUGUGAUCUGAGGAAAAAUAUGGGAUAGAACACAUGAUCAUUAAUAUCCAUCUGUAUCCGAUUCUGUUUCAUUCCUACUCGCAUGGAAGCCAUGCCCGUUAGGAGGAUAAUAAAGAUGGAGUCAUUAGGAACUGGAGGUUGCUGUGAUGAUAGCUUUUUCAAGAACUUAUGCUAGCAUUUUCAUGAACUCACUCUUUCUUUCUUUCUCUCUCUCUCUCUGUGUGUAUAUAUAUAUAUCGAUCCAUUCCUCCUCCUCUCCUUCCCAUUAACAGCUUCUUGUUAAGCAUACAUUGCUAGUAUGAUGAUGAUAUUCAUUUGAAUAAUAAGCUGCUGAGCGCCUCCAAUUCCAUAAUCUGCUACUGUGUUCUUAUCAUUUGCUGCCUCUGUUGCUGUUUCCAAACAAGUUUUUUUGACUUUCUAUGAUGUACAUCGGUUAAUUUAGGGAUUGUUUGGAUGAGCUAGGACUAAGGGGGUGUUUGAAUGCACUAGAUAUAAUAGUUAGUGGCUAAAAUUAGCUAGAGACAUCCAAACACCCUAGCUAAUAGUUCAGCUAUUAGCUAUUUUAGUAAAUUAGCUACUAGUUAGCUAACUAUUUGUUUGCUAGCUAAUUCUACUAGUAUAUUUUUAGCUAACUAACUAUUAGCUUUAGUGCAUUCAAACACCCCCUAAUACAGCUGAGUUUGGCUAGCUAGUUGGCUAACAACUAGAUGGAAAUUUGGCUAAAAAAUUAGCCCAUCUAUUAGCCCUCUUGUUUGGAUGCCCUAGGGCUAAUUUUAGCUAUUUUUUAGCUAGCUACUGAUUAGCUCUUGUAUCCAAACUGGUCCUUAAUAAUAGUUUCAUUACAACUAUAUUGCUGGUCACAUCAAACAUCAUGUCAACUUUGUUUAAGUGCAACCAAGUGUUCACAUUACAGUUUGUAGUUUGCUUACUGCUUUUUGUGGCUGCCAUGAUGGACUUCUCGUUAAACUGAGACAUACUAUGAGGAUAGCAUCUAUCCAUUCAAAAACUAUAACUGAGCAGCAUUGUUAUUGUUUGAAUAUAUAACAAGUUCGAGGUGUUGCACUCUUUUGUUACCAUCAUUUAAUUUGCCUUUUGUGCCUUCCAUCCCAGCAUGUGCAUGUGUGUUUUACAUGUUUGGAGGUUUCAAUUAUGUCAUACUUGUUAACCUGAUACAUCUUUAUUCCCUGGAAGACACCUAGUCCAUUCAUAACUCAAGACUGAGAACCUCGACUCUCACUAGUUUGCUAUGUUUAUUUUUUCUCGUUCUAUGUUUUUUUGGUGUCUUGAUUGAGUUCUAUCAAUCUCUGUUCAAAGGUUGCAUGUGAAUGUGAAUUAUAGUAUUUCCACAAAAGUUAUGGCUUUCCGUAGCAAGGUAAACAAAUACAUACUUACGAUGAAAAUUCUGAAGUGUGGGCUGGUUAUGGUGGCGUGGUGGUGGCAAUGUUUACCAUGACAUUUUUUGUUCAUCUUGUUGCUUACUUGCAUGUACUGGGUCACUAGGUCACGGGUUUCAAGCAGUCUCUCCGCAUUUGUGGGGGAAGGCUUCCCUAUUCCUUCCCUAGAUCCCACUCGUAUGGGAGCCUUCCGGCACUAGGUUUGCCCUUUUUUGUUGUUGCUUACUCACAUGUAGGGAUGAAAUUUUUUAGACACCCGUCCUUCCCGAAAGGAUCAUAACCCUACAUGGAUGCAUUUGAAUCUGAACAUUUAAUAUAUGUAACAUAUUCGAAUCCAAAUGCUCAAAUUCAGAUUUCUGAUAUGCAUAUGAGAUUGAUAUCAAAAUCUGAUAUGAUGGUGCUGAUAUUCGAGGAAACAUAUUGGAUAGAACACAUUAGCAUUAAUAUCCAUCUGUAUCUGAUUCUGUUUCAUUCCUACUCGCAUGGAAGCCAUGCCUAUUAGGAGGAUAAUAAAGUUGGGGAGUCAUUAGGAACUGGAGGCUGCUGUGAUGAUAGCUUUUUCAAGAACUUAUGCUAGCAUUUUCAAGAACUCUCUCUCUCUCUCUCUCUCGCUCACUCACUCACUCUGAGUUUGUGUGUUUCCAUCCAUUCCUCCUCUUUUCCCCAUUAACAAGUUCUUGUUAAGCAUGCAUUGCUAGUAUGAUGAUGAUAUUCAUUUGAAUAAUAAGCUGCUGAGCGCCUC